UACGAAGGGGGCUAGCGUUGCUCGGAUUUACUGGGCGUAAAGGGCGCGUAGGCGGACAGUUUAGUCAGAGGUGAAAGCCCAGGGCUCAACCUUGGAAUUGCCUUUGAUACUGGCUGUCUUGAGUACGGGAGAGGUGAGUGGAACUCCGAGUGUAGAGGUGAAAUUCGUAGAUAUUCGGAAGAACACCAGUGGCGAGGGCGACUCACUGGCCCGUUACUGACGCUGAGGCGCGAAAGCGUGGGGAGCAAACAGG
rnacentral:rRNA from 1 species